GUCUUCUGAGGUUUAACAUCAACUGCAUCUUCUGGAAAUGGGUCAUAUCCUUGGAUGUAAUCCAGUCAGCUCCUGCUCCAGAACAAGGGCUCCGGCAUCAGAGAACACUCCAAAACCGCAUCUAAUACUCCACACGUUACCUCCUUAAUGAAAUGAAGAACGGCUCUGCGAAAGAAAACAGAGGCCUGAGAUUUCCCCUCCCUUCAGCUGGAUUCUCCCUAGAAGUAUGAUU